GCUUAACACAUGCAAGUCGAGCGGUAAGGCCCUUCGGGGUACACGAGCGGCGAACGGGUGAGUAACACGUGGGUGAUCUGCCUCGCACUUCGGGAUAAGCCUGGGAAACUGGGUCUAAUACCGGAUAUGACCUGCUGUCGCAUGGCGGUGGGUGGAAAGAUUUAUCGGUGCGAGAUGGGCCCGCGGCCUAUCAGCUUGUUGGUGGGGUAAUGGCCUACCAAGGCGACGACGGGUAGCCGGCCUGAGAGGGCGACCGGCCACACUGGGACUGAGACACGGCCCAGACUCCUACGGGAGGCAGCAGUGGGGAAUAUUGCACAAUGGGCGAAAGCCUGAUGCAGCGACGCCGCGUGAGGGAUGACGGCCUUCGGGUUGUAAACCUCUUUCGACAGGGACGAAGCGCAAGUGACGGUACCUGUAGAAGAAGCACCGGCCAACUACGUGCCAGCAGCCGCGGUAAUACGUAGGGUGCGAGCGUUGUCCGGAAUUACUGGGCGUAAAGAGCUUGUAGGCGGUUUGUCGCGUCGUCCGUGAAAACUUGGGGCUCAACCCCAAGCUUGCGGGCGAUACGGGCAGACUUGAGUACUGCAGGGGAGACUGGAAUUC
rnacentral:rRNA from 1 species